AGAGUUUGAUCAUGGCUCAGAUUGAACGCUGGCGGCAGGCCUAACACAUGCAAGUCGAGCGGUAACACAGAGAGCUUGCUCUCGGGUGACGAGCGGCGGACGGGUGAGUAAUGUCUGGGAAACUGCCUGAUGGAGGGGGAUAACUACUGGAAACGGUAGCUAAUACCGCAUAACGUCGCAAGACCAAAGUGGGGGACCUUCGGGCCUCAUGCCAUCAGAUGUGCCCAGAUGGGAUUAGCUAGUAGGUGGGGUAAUGGCUCACCUAGGCGACGAUCCCUAGCUGGUCUGAGAGGAUGACCAGCCACACUGGAACUGAGACACGGUCCAGACUCCUACGGGAGGCAGCAGUGGGGAAUAUUGCACAAUGGGCGCAAGCCUGAUGCAGCCAUGCCGCGUGUAUGAAGAAGGCCUUCGGGUUGUAAAGUACUUUCAGCGAGGAGGAAGGCAUUAAGGUUAAUAACCUUGGUGAUUGACGUUACUCGCAGAAGAAGCACCGGCUAACUCCGUGCCAGCAGCCGCGGUAAUACGGAGGGUGCAAGCGUUAAUCGGAAUUACUGGGCGUAAAGCGCACGCAGGCGGUCUGUCAAGUCGGAUGUGAAAUCCCCGGGCUCAACCUGGGAACUGCAUUCGAAACUGGCAGGCUAGAGUCUUGUAGAGGGGGGUAGAAUUCCAGGUGUAGCGGUGAAAUGCGUAGAGAUCUGGAGGAAUACCGGUGGCGAAGGCGGCCCCCUGGACAAAGACUGACGCUCAGGUGCGAAAGCGUGGGGAGCAAACAGGAUUAGAUACCCUGGUAGUCCACGCCGUAAACGAUGUCGACUUGGAGGUUGUGCCCUUGAGGCGUGGCUUCCGGAGCUAACGCGUUAAGUCGACCGCCUGGGGAGUACGGCCGCAAGGUUAAAACUCAAAUGAAUUGACGGGGGCCCGCACAAGCGGUGGAGCAUGUGGUUUAAUUCGAUGCAACGCGAAGAACCUUACCUACUCUUGACAUCCAGAGAACUUAGCAGAGAUGCUUUGGUGCCUUCGGGAACUCUGAGACAGGUGCUGCAUGGCUGUCGUCAGCUCGUGUUGUGAAAUGUUGGGUUAAGUCCCGCAACGAGCGCAACCCUUAUCCUUUGUUGCCAGCGAUUAGGUCGGGAACUCAAAGGAGACUGCCAGUGAUAAACUGGAGGAAGGUGGGGAUGACGUCAAGUCAUCAUGGCCCUUACGAGUAGGGCUACACACGUGCUACAAUGGCAUAUACAAAGAGAAGCGACCUCGCGAGAGCAAGCGGACCUCAUAAAGUAUGUCGUAGUCCGGAUUGGAGUCUGCAACUCGACUCCAUGAAGUCGGAAUCGCUAGUAAUCGUAGAUCAGAAUGCUACGGUGAAUACGUUCCCGGGCCUUGUACACACCGCCCGUCACACCAUGGGAGUGGGUUGCAAAAGAAGUAGGUAGCUUAACCUUCGGGAGGGCGCUUACCACUUUGUGAUUCAUGACUGGGGUGAAGUCGUAACAAGGUAACCGUAGGGGAACCUGCGGUUG
rnacentral:rRNA from 1 species